rnacentral:rRNA from 1 species
AGAGUUUGAUCAUGGCUCAGGAUGAACGCUGGCGGCGUGGAUAAGGCAUGCAAGUCAAGGGGGUCCCGCAAGGGACAACCGGCGAACGAGGUAGUAACACGUAGGUACGCGCACUGAAGUCUAGUAUAGCUUCUCGAAAGAGGGGGUAAUCCUAGAUAGUCUCGAAAGAGUAAAGUUUUUUCGCUUCAGGAGCGGCCUGCGGAGUAUCAGCUAGUUGGUAAGGUAAUGGCUUACCAAGGCUAUGACGCUUAGGGGAGGUGAGAGCCUGACCCCCACCGAUGGGACUGAGACACGGCCCAUACACCUACGGGUGGCUGCAGUCGAGAAUCUUCCGCAAUGGGCGAAAGCCUGACGGAGCGACGCCGCGUGGUUGAUGAAGUGCUUCGGCACGUAAAAACCUUUUAUGAGGGAGAAAUUUCGAUGAUAGUACCUCAUGAAUAAGGAGCUCCAAACUCUGUGCCAGCAGGAGCGGUAAUACAGAGGCUCCAAGCGUUAUCCGGAAUCACUGGGCGUAAAGGGUGUGUAGGUGGUCUAGUUAGUCUUUUGUUAAAGCUCCCGGCCCAACCGGGAAAAAGCAAAAGAAACGGCUAGACUAGAGGAUGCGAGAGGUGCGUGGAACUCAUGGAGUAGGGGUGAAAUCCGUUGAUACCAUGGGGAACACCAAAAGCGAAGGCAGCGCACUGGCGCACUCCUGACACUGAAACACGAAAGCGUAGGUAGCGAAUGGGAUUAGAUACCCUAGUAGUCC